UAAUACAGAGGGUGCAAGCGUUAAUCGGAAUUACUGGGCGUAAAGCGAGCGUAGGUGGCUUGAUAAGUCAGAUGUGAAAUCCCCGGGCUUAACCUGGGAACUGCAUCUGAUACUGUUGAGCUAGAGUAGGUGAGAGGGAAGUAGAAUUCCAGGUGUAGCGGUGAAAUGCGUAGAGAUCUGGAGGAAUACCGAUGGCGAAGGCAGCUUCCUGGCAUCAUACUGACACUGAGGCUCGAAAGCGUGGGUAGCAAACAGG
rnacentral:rRNA from 1 species